rnacentral:rRNA from 1 species
GACGUAGGGGGCAAGCGUUGUUCGGAAUUAUUGGGCGUAAAGCGCUCGUAGGCGGGACAGGAAGUUCGUGUUGAAAGACCUCGGCUCAACUGAGGGACCGGCUCGAAUACUCUUGUUCUUGAGGCAAUCAGAGGGUGAUGGAAUUCCCGGUGUAGCGGUGAAAUGCGUAGAUAUCAGGAGGAACACCAAUGGCGAAGGCAGCUCGCUGGGACGGUACUGACGCUGAGACGCGAAAGCGUGGGGAGCAAACAGG